rnacentral:rRNA from 1 species
UACGUAGGUGGCAAGCGUUGUCCGGAUUUACUGGGCGUAAAGGGCGUGCAGGCGGUUUGUUAAGUCUAGGGUGAAAGCUCCCGGCUCAACUGGGAGAGGUCCUUGGAUACUGGCAGACUUGAGGAGGGUAGAGGAGAGUGGGAUUCCCGGUGUAGUGGUGAUAUGCGUAGAUAUCGGGAGGAACACCAGUGGCGAAGGCGGCUCUCUGGGCCCUACCUGACGCUGAGACGCGAAAGCGUGGGGAGCGAACCGG